rnacentral:rRNA from 1 species
CUCGUGAAUUCAUCUCCGGGGGUAGAGCACUGUUUCGGCAAGGGGGUCAUCCCGACUUACCAACCCGAUGCAAACUGCGAAUACCGGAGAAUGUUAUCACGGGAGACACACGGCGGGUGCUAACGUCCGUCGUGAAGAGGGAAACAACCCAGACCGCCAGCUAAGGUCCCAAAGUCAUGGUUAAGUGGGAAACGAUGUGGGAAGGCCCAGACAGCCAGGAUGUUGGCUUAGAAGCAGCCAUCAUUUAAAGAAAGCGUAAUAGCUCACUGGUCGAGUCGGCCUGCGCGGAAGAUGUAACGGGGCUAAACCAUGCACCGAAGCUGCGGCAGCGACGCUUAUGCGUUGUUGGGUAGGGGAGCGUUCUGUAAGCCUGCGAAGGUGUGUUGUGAGGCAUGCUGGAGGUAUCAGAAGUGCGAAUGCUGACAUAAGUAACGAUAAAGCGGGUGAAA